rnacentral:misc_RNA from 1 species
GAUGAAGAACGUAGCGAAAUGCGAUAAGUGAUGUGAAUUGCAGAAUUCAGUGAAUCAUCGAAUCUUUGAACGCACAUUGCGCCCGCCAGUAUUCUGGCGGGCAUGCCUGUCCGAGCGUCAUUUCAACCCUCAAGCCCCCGGGCUUGGUGUUGGAGAUCGGCGAGCCCCCCGGGGCGCGCCGUCUCCCAAAUAUAGUGGCGGUCCCGCUGUAGCUUCCUCUGCGUAGUAGCACACCUCGCACUGGGAAACAGCGUGGCCACGCCGUAAAACCCCCCACUUCUGAAAGGUUGACCUCGGAUCAGGUAGGAAUACCCGCUGAACUUAAGCAUAUCAAUAAGCGGAGGA